rnacentral:lncRNA from 1 species
UAAUAUUAUACAAAUUAUUUUCAUUGCUCAGGACAUCCUUCUCCGUGGUCUAUACAUUCUUCAUUAGAGCCUUUCUCCUUACCUAGUUCCUUUGGUGAUGAGGAUUGUAGGCUGGUAAUCCUUUGCUCUAUGUCCAAAAUUCAUAAAUGAGUGAGUACAUACCAUGUUUGUCUUUUUGUGCCUGGGUAACAGGAGGAAAUGGCGGAGCUGGAAUUUUGAGUCAGGGGAAGAAUAGAGGAGAGAGAACAGGAUGAGAGUUCCAUUAACAGAGGGGGGCCUUUAUAGGUUCAAGGAGAGAUCUGGCACUAGUGAGAUUUGCAGAGAUCUCCAAGAAUGACACCAACUGACAAUCUAGGCAGUGGUGGAGAGGCUACCCUAAAUGCCCUUCCCCUGUAAUGAGACUGAUGACUGCUUUAUAUGACAUCCUAGAGCCCUCAUCCAGUGGCUGAUGGAAGCAGAGGAAGACACCCACAGCUAAACACUGGACUGAACUCCUGGAAUCCGUUGCAGAGAGGAGAGGUGAAGAGCAAAGAGGUGAGGACCCAGCUGGUGAAACCCACAGAAACAGAUGACCUGAACAAGGGAGAGCACAUGGACCCAAGUCUGAUGUCUGGAAGGCCAGCCCGGAACUGAUCCAGAACCCUGAAUGUGGAUGUCAAUGAAGAGGAUGAAUAUGGGAGAAGUGAAGUAAUACAGGGGAGGAUGUGAAGAGGCACAGCUAGCAAGUAUGUGCCAUCCCACAGUCAUUUUCCAAGAGCCCUCAUCCAGUGGCUGAUGGAAGCAGAGGCAGACACCCACAGCUAAACACUGGACUGAACUCCUGGAAUCCGUUGCAGAGAGGAGGAGUGAAGAGCAAAGAGGUGAGGACCCAGCUGGUGAAACCCACAGAAACAGAUGACCUGAACAAGGGAGAGCACAUGGACCCCAGUCUGAUGUCUGGAAGGCCAGCAUG